rnacentral:rRNA from 1 species
AUUGAACGCUGGCGGCAUGCCUUACACAUGCAAGUCGAACGGUAACGGGCCUUCGGGUGCCGACGAGUGGCGAACGGGUGAGUAAUACAUCGGAACGUGCCCGAUCGUGGGGGAUAACGAGGCGAAAGCUUUGCUAACACCGCAUACGAUCUACGGAUGAAAGCAGGGGACCGCAAGGCCUUGCGCGGACGGAGCGGCCGAUGGCAGAUUAGGUAGUUGGUGGGAUAAAAGCUUACCAAGCCGACGAUCUGUAGCUGGUCUGAGAGGAUGAUCAGCCACACUGGGACUGAGACACGGCCCAGACUCCUACGGGAGGCAGCAGUGGGGAAUUUUGGACAAUGGGCGCAAGCCUGAUCCAGCCAUGCCGCGUGAAGGAUGAAGGCCUUCGGGUUGUAAACUGCUUUUGUACGGAACGAAAAGCCUUCUUUUAAUACAGGAGGGUCAUGACGGUACCGUAAGAAUAAGCACCGGCUAACUACGUG